CCCAGACUCCUACGGGAGGCAGCAGUGAGGAAUAUUGGUCAAUGGGCGAGAGCCUGAACCAGCCAAGUCGCGUGAGGGAAGACGGUCCUAUGGAUUGUAAACCUCUUUUGUCAGGGAGCAAAGUCACCCACGUGUGGGUGUUGGAGAGUACCUGAAGAAAAAGCAUCGGCUAACUCCGUGCCAGCAGCCGCGGUAAUACGGAGGAUGCGAGCGUUAUCCGGAUUUAUUGGGUUUAAAGGGUGCGUAGGCGGUUCGAUAAGUUAGAGGUGAAAUCCCGGGGCUCAACUCCGGCACUGCCUCUGAUACUGUCGGGCUAGAGUUUAGUUGCGGUAGGCGGAAUGUAUGGUGUAGCGGUGAAAUGCAUAGAGAUCAUACAGAACACCGAUUGCGAAGGCAGCUUACCAAACUACGACUGACGUUGAGGCACGAAAGCGUGGGGAGCAAACAGGAUUAGAUACCCACGUA
rnacentral:rRNA from 1 species